GGGGAUAUAGCUCAAGUAUCAGAGCACUUGCCUAGCAUGCAGGAGUCCCUGGGUUUAAUCCCCGGUACUGCAA
rnacentral:tRNA from 1 species